CACCCUUCGAGCGGGCCGCAAAAAAUAAUAAGCCAGGUUUGCCGCGGUCACGUGAGCGCGUGGAAGCGGGUCCCGCGCCCAAUCUCACUCACAGCACACACUGGGCCGACUCGUCCGAUAGAAUGUGCCUUCAGUGUUGAUUUUAUACGAAAAAAAUACUAAAAUUAUACAAAGGGGCCCGACAUAGACCGAACGCCCACCCAAAGCCUGACUGGUGCUCGCCCGCUGCCCGUUUUUUCAUCCUAACACCGGUCUUAAGCAUACAUUUAACAGGAACAUCUACACCUACACCUACCAUUAACGUGGGUCUCCCACGGAGAUGUCGAUCAGACCUGCAACUUUCAUGGAUUUAGGAUCUCCUCUUACGAAUUGGUGGAUCGCGUUCAUUUUGCCCGGAAGGGACUAUUGCUUUCGCAACUCGUGCUCAAAAAGGAUUACCGUUCGAGUUAAGGAUUAACUGCCCGAGACACGCGAUCCCCGGCCCCUCAAAGACUAAGAACACUACGAGGGUGUUCCUUUUUCGAUUUCUUGUUUUUCUCCGCGCUUCACAUGAUCUAAGAUCGACACUCGCAUCUGGGACCACGUUCAAAAAUAUUGAUAUUCCUCUAGAGUUAGAUUUAUCGUUUCACGUUGUCCAGCGUGAACGUGAACUUCACGGGCCGUGACGGUGUCACUUGUCAUGAUAAAAGGUAUCAUCAAGACCAAGCGAACAAAUUCUAACGCCAUAAUGGAUACAGGUCUGAAACGCGUCUUCGAGGGACACCGAGUCCACGCUUCGAAAGAAGGAACCACCCCUGUGGCACGAGUACGCGGAAUCACACACACACAUUGACACUAUUUGCGCACAGGGAGUGAUCACACACAGACACGCACGAACACACACGCUCGCAAAUAUAUCCAACUACACCCCAGCAAAAAAGAAGAUGUUUUGGUUGAUGCAAGGAGUUCGGAACGCUGCUAUGCACCGAUAACACACGUAUAUUGAUUAAAUGCAAUUACUAUGCGAUAAGUAUACUUACAUAAUAUAUAUGUGUACUAUGGUCUCUCCCACUUCCCAAUCAGAAUAACCCCGAACUGUCGCGCGUCGAUCGAGCGGAUGAUCGGUCGCUCGCGAGCGCGCUCGCGAUCCCCGUUCGACACGCAAAGAUCCACGGAGAUCAACGAUUAAAACCGUGCGAGGAUACCAGCUCGCGAGAUCGUUCGUCGGUAACCGGAUCGACGAGCGGCUUCAUCCGCAUUCUCCAAAGACCCCAGGAUGCCCGACGUGCCCCUGAAUCCCAGAUCCUCCGAACCCAUUUCCUCUGAAAUACAAACGUAGAAUUUAACCACAUUAACUAUGAAUGACGAGAAGCUACGUAAGAGCUAACUAACUAACUACAAUUAAACUUACUUAAUUAUUAACAAUUAAACAAGCAGUAAAGCAGUAUAAACAGUAAACGCCCAGUAAUCAUUGAAUUGUGUGUCGACAACUACAUACUAACUACCUACCGUAUAUCGAAGUAAUAGCCGUAUGUAAAACGAAUGAAAAAAAAAUAACUUGUAUUCUACCAGUUGUAUCAGCCAGUCCAGUUCUAAUAAGCAAGUGAUUAAAAGUAACUCAAACGCCCGGUUUUAACGAACCCUAGUCCCUAACUCCAUCCGCCUCUGUUCCUCUUCUGUGACCCUUCUUUUUGCCACCCUUCAACGGAUCAACCGAUUUACUUGACUCCUUCCGUCGAUAAUCGUCCCGACCUAAUUACCAAUUUAUCCGUCUCCUUCGACGUAAGUAUCCGCAGAUUGUACCCCGGUGUCCCCAUCGACGUUCCUACCCGCCUCCUUUCGAUCCCCCAUAGUCCCAACCAGUGUCCGACACCCUUCCUUCCACAAACGGAUCCUCCGACAAAGUAAAAUACCGCACAGUAUAACCCAGUCAGUGUUUAAAAAGAAACUGAUCCGCCGGCUAACAGAAUAAAAACAUGAUAUUUACCAUUAGUGUUUUUUCGUAGACAGACGUAAUAAAGGAUGAAAACAAAGCCUUCGUUUACGAUUAUACGCACACGUGUGGGGAGACCAUGUAACUUUAGCUCCGCCGCUCAUCGAGCCGGCCGCGAAUCGCGAUCGAACGAUCGUUCGCGUUCCCUGUCGAGACACUGAUCGUUUCCGUGGAUCGAGACGAAUCGAUUUCCGCAGAACGAUCGCACGAUGUCGGGAUGGAACGCUCGUCGAUCGAAACGAUUGCGUUCACGGCCGCGCAUACGCCCCGAAACAACAAGCACAGCUGGUAUUAGCAGCUAGCGCCCUUUUCGAUUCCCCGUAACCAGUGUCCCUCGAUAUCCUAUCUACCCCGUACCCAGAAAACCUAAAUCGAAGAUGAAAAAAAAAUGAGAAGACACCAAAUCGCCCAGACCCCUUUAUCCACGCCUCCGCAACCCUCGAUUCCCUACGUGUUGUAUUAUCCGUUAUUUUCGAUAUAAUAUUAUAUAUAGUAUACUAAUGAUAUUUAAUGAUAAUACGACGACGAUAAGGUAUGGGAGACGUUUGGUCACACACAAAUGUAGGACACUACUACACGGAUUACGCCAUCCUCACACGACCAUUCUGAUCGACACAGUGACGAAACUCGUACGAUCAAACAUACACACGCAUAUGUACACACGCACACGACACACACGCACACACAGAGACACACAUAUAUAACGUACACGAAAUGUACACGUAUACACAGGACCAUUUUUACCACGAGCCAACCGUACACACAGCUACACACGCAUACGGCCACGCACUUCUACAGAUACCAGCAGUAAUAGAACAGACGUAACAAGAAACAAGAUAACAAAAAAAGUAAAAUCAUAAGAAAUGAUAACAGAAACACUAGUUGCCGUGCAGUUUGUGAACAAAACAAAUAACAAGAAAAAAAAAUGCAGUAAUGAUAACCACCGACCUACCCGCGGGUCCGCUUCGUUCUUGCCCCGCGAGACUGAGCCGUGCAUUCUCGCGAUCCGGAAAGAUCAACGCCGCCUGCGGUCGGAUUUCCUGUUCUUCUUCUGGGUAACUUUGCUAACCAGCAAUCGGACUGCAAGUGUUUCGCGAUGUCUGUUCCUUGUGUAGACGUCAGAACCCGGUCGAUCGUGCUCGACGAGAGGCCGCACGACCAUAAACGGGAGAACGGCACGGCUCAGGGCCCGCGAUCGGGGCAGAAUCUGCCUCAAGCGUAGCUAAACGUUUUUUGUACAGGAUUUAACGAUGAUGAUGCAUUAACUGGAUGUAAAAUCUUGAGUUACAGAGCAGCACUAUACAUACCACACAGAUGAUGUAUAUAUUUUUACGUUACAGAAUAUGCCUGCGCUACAGUCAGGCGCCAUAAGACUGGUUCUCAUUUCCCACGAAUACAAUGCGUAUAUACAUGCCACAUAAACUUUAACGAGAAAUGCAAAAUGACCGAAUAUAUUGUAAUGUAAAACAUAAUGAUAUUUGUAUACAAUGUACCGCCAGGUACCGCAACACGGGGGUUACAAACAGACACGCCACGGUCAAAACGAAAUGUGGGGCUGCCCGCUCGCAACGACGGAUGAUCGGUCGGGAAACGAGACUCGAGAGGUCGAUCCGUGCGAACGACGACGCGAUCACGGUUAGAAGCUAAAACGGAAACGAAAACGUUCGGAUAUUCGGAGAAAGAACGGGAUAAAAAAAGAUGUUACCUUUCGGCGAGUUGGGAGUAGCUUCGACGCGUGAAACGAUGGUGCUAACAGAAUAAGUCGCCGCAUGGUAUCGCGUUGCCUCUCGAGUCGACGAGAAAAUGGGUAGAAAUAUGCCGUUGCGGCUGAAAAUCGAAGGUGACGAACUGAAUUGGCUAAACGAAUUCGCGAAUAUACCCGUGCGUUUUAAACACCAUGGAAAUUACCAUCCUGAUUUUCACAUUAGGCCGUUAUACCCAUCGAGCUCUACUAAAAAACUCGUGUUCAAAAGCAACCAUAAAAACGAAAAACGAAAUCGGUAACGAAAGCAAGCGUGAUAGGGAUGCGUUAACAACCAGAUCCGUCGUUGGCCGCGAUCAACGAGAACGAUCGCGGAAAAGAACGAACGUUCUUUCGGAAAGUGUUGCUUGCGGGUACCCCGACAGAAGCAUAACGCGGGUAGGAGUUUCUAAACAUGAAUUCCCGUCUCGAAUUGCGUCGCGAUUCGAGUCGCGGGAAGGUCCUAAUUUUCCAAAACUAAAAAAAAACAUUAAUAAUAACGAACACUAAAUCCGCACUCGGCGUCCGUUGGUUGGCCACGGAUUGAUCGACGGGACACGUCGAUUCCAUCGAGAGAACGAACGAGAAAAUGAAAAAUUGAGAACAAGAUAAGAACGGGGCCUAAAAGUACGCGAACGUGAUCGAUCGAUCGAUCCGUGUCGCCACAUACGGACUCAGGAGACCCUCAUGACACACGUUUGAGUUGCAGUGCAAGCGAACAUCUGUAGAGCCAUAUACGUAUAGUAUGUUGUAUCUUUAAAACGAAAAAAAUUGAACAAUUGACGACAAUUUAAGCGCUGUAAGUGUACAUUUUUAUAAUAACAAAAUCGCGGUUGCAUUUCGAUGAAACGUUCAAUGCGGCAGACAAAAACAAACAAACGAAGAAACGAGAAACUUAAAUGAACGAACAGGCAAAAAUUGCGAACACAAAAAAGAAAAAAAAAUGGGGCGGCAGAUUCGUAGCGAGGAAUCACGAUAAUAAGUAACGAUAAAUUCGAAACAAACGAGAAAGAAAAACGGCGUGAGAGAACGAGAAAACGUCAAUAUGACAUGUACGAGAGAGAAAGAGAGAGAGAGUGUGCGAUGUACGCGUGUGUGCGCGCGAGUAUGCGAACGUGUGCGAAUAGAAUGCGAAACAAGCGAAAAAGCGUAGACGAGCGUGUAUGCGUAAAACGAUAAACAAACGAAAGAGAAAAAAAAGAGGAAAGAAAAGACGAAACGACAAACAGAAAAGUUGCAUCCUCGAAUCGCGAUCGACGGCUUGGUCACCGGCGGCCCCGUCCGUAACGGGUGCAAGUAACUUUAGGUGUAUAAAAAAGAAACGAGUGAAAGCAAGAAAAAAGAAGAUACAAAUUUUAUCUAAUCCUCUCGUGGUUUUUAGGAUGUUCUAAAGAAAUUAUUGUAAAAAAGAGAGAGCAAUGGGAGGACAGAGGAGACGAGAGACCUAUUAUAGACGACGGUGUCAAGUUUAGAGGCCGACUCGUUGCGUGAAACAAGAUGGCCGAUGUGAACUUGCGUGAAAAAUGCGUGAAUGAGAUCUCGAUCGAUGAGCGUGAAUGGAAAAAAAGGAGAAAGAGAUUAAGAAAAAAAGAUUUAUCGUAAUUUUUUGGAGGUGAUUCGGUCGCCUGGUGACCGGGCCUCAGUCUCGAUGCGAGCUCGAAAUUUCAUGGGCGCCGGAUACGGCGUGCACGGGCAGAAUAUCGGCGUGGAAAAGGAGAUUUUCCCCGAGAUAUUUUUCCCGGUACCGCGUUCGAUGAGCGAAAUUACUUUCCUUCUUCUUCCUGGCCCAAAAAAUACUGAGAUUCGCCCGACUAGGAAAAAAAAGAAACUCUAUAUAAUACAUGUACAUAUAUAUUUUCGGAGGAUUUCGGCUAAACUCGGGGUGAACGGAAAGACGAAAAAACUAUGAAAAAUACUGUAAAAGAGACUGCCGAUAAAACUAUGCGAAAGAAAUCGUUUUAGAUCACACGAUUCGGCGUCCUUGCCUAUUUCGACCUGAGCACGCUUGUUUCGAUUUAAACAAACAAAAAAAUCGAUUAUGGGUUUUUUAUAUAUUUUUGGCAACGAUAUCUCGAUACUAUUUAAGAUUUAAGCUUAAACGAAAAAGAAAAGAGGGGAAAACGUGAACAAAAUGGCGGAGAAUAGGAGAUUGAUACGACGAAAAAACGACGGAGACGAAGGCGCAUCGCUGUCGUGUUUUUGUAAAAAAAUUUUGGAAACAAAAAUGCAACGUGCUAAAGGGAGAGAGUGUAUGUUUGCGUGUAUACAUGAAUGAGUGAGUAAAAAAAACGUACGAACAGAAAGAGCGAAAAUAUUGUACGCGUGCGAGCGAAAAUUAAACAAAAGCGAGCGAGAUCGAGCGUGCGAAUGGUAACGAGAGAAAAAAAGAGAAAAAACGGUGGUAAAAUAAUAUUUAAAUAUUCGUAUCAAAACAGAAAAAAAUGAAAAAGAUGUGUAGGGCCUCGAAAAUACUGGCGACCGAAAUGGGACAAGGGAGACAAGUAAAAAAGUUGCGAAAAAGAAAGGGAAAAAAGAUGCUAACUUAAACGAAGGCGUGAAAAUAAUAGAGGCCGAAAACUACUAAAAAUAUUUAUAAUAUAUGGCUACAAGUACAAAUUACUUCGACUACUGAGCGUAGGUGUAUUGAUGUGUGAACAAAAUUUGGUUGGCCGAUGACCGUUUUUGAAAACCAUCAUAACUGCGUAUCAAAGUAUGUAAAAUUUAUUGAAUAAACGCUAGCGUAUUAUGAUAUAAUGUAAUCUAAUAAUGUAAUAUUGUAAUGACGAGUCUAAAUGAUGAGAUGUUAACUUGAAGUUUUAGGAGCGCGCGCGUGAGAGGUUGUGCACGUGGAUGAUUUAAAAGAAACAAAAGUAAAAAAAAUGAAAAAAGAUGAAACAAAGAGUAAGAGAGGACAAAAAAAGAGAAUGACAAAUUGCAUCUUUAUAAUGAUUAUCAGUACUAUUAGUAUUAUUAUUGCGAUUAACGAUUGUCAGUCACCCGUCGCUGGUCAUUAUUGCUAAAAAUGAAAAUGAAAAAAAAAAGUGAAAGAAAGACGAAAAAGAGAGAAUAAUACCGUUCGUUUGAAACGGUGUAUUUGUCCUCCUAACCUCCCUUUAGUGAUGUUCGUUUCUUAUCAUUGAUCUAUCCAUAAAGAACAAGCUGGCAUGACGAUUGUAACCGUUUAUUAUGAUUAUCAUUAACUUUAUGAUUACCGAUUAUGAUUAUUAUUACUACGGCGAUUAAUGGUAUUCUGAUUGUCAUUAUUAUCGUUAUCGUAUGUACAUUGUAAACGGCAGCGAAAAUCGAAUCAUUUGCACACAAUUUUGAGACACGUAUAUAUGUAUAUAUACAUAUAUAUAGAUAGAGACGUUCUUCUGAGAAAUACCACAAAAAAACGAUGAAGAGAAAGGGAAACGUGGAGAAACGACUCGAGCGCUUUCAGAAUGAACAACUGUGCGUGAUUGCGGAACGCGUGUUUGUAUGGAUGCGCGAACGAGAGUGUAAUCGAACGAUAACGAGCGACUGAUAACAGGAAAGUAGAAAGGGCAUGAAAGAGAACGAACGUGAAACUGAGAGAGAGAGAGAAAGAGAGAGAAUGACGCGAUUUUGAGGCGCGAUGGCGCGAAAACCGUGACGAAAGAACACGCGAAAGAGUUGGCGAGCAUGGGCGAGGAGUAUGCGCGCGAAUGCGGGAGAAAUAUACAAUUAUAGUAGAGGGGAGGAAAAUAACAAGAGCUAAAAAAAAAGAAAUUAUUUGCACGGGGAUACUGAAACGAGCUGCGAUCGGCGUGACGGUGAACGUGGAAAGGGAACACGUUUCUUGCUGGGUCGUGUACAAGGGAUGACGAUGUGAACGAGACGAAAAAUUCCGCAAAACGGCGUGACGAACACGUUUUUUCGGCGACAGUUAGACUACACACACACAGGCAUAUAGUGUCACGCCGUCUCACUGGUAACUCACUUUCGGAAUCGUUCGGACAAAACGAGUUAACAAAAGAAAUGAAAAAAAAAGAAAAUGAAAAGGAAAAAAA